GUCAUUUUAUAAGAACAAUAUGCAUCUUUCUAGUACCACUGAAGAGAACACUUCUAACAACAAUUUUAGUUGCAUGCCAUGAACUUUUUCAUAACUACACACACUCUGGAGUUUUAGCGAUUAGAUAAAAUGGGAAACACAACUCUUCCUCAUGAAAGUGACCUGCUGGACCUGUUAGGUGGCAUCAAUACUCUUGCCUAAGUUUCAUUCAUCAUAAAGCAGCUGCUUAGCUGUAAAUUGGAAGAUCUAGUAUUGUUUUUUCCUUUUCAUGAUUGAAAAUCUAAAAUGAGUGGCUUUGAUUAUAACUACGACUUGAUUAGUGCGUCAAUGAUUGUUGAAACUGGUUAUACCUGAUUCUACAGAUAAAAUGCAUAUUCAUGCUAUUUUCUUGGUUAAAUACAAGGCUUAAGUCCCCAAUAGCAUUCUUGAUCUCUUAUUAACUCUUCUUUCAUUAAUCCA
rnacentral:misc_RNA from 1 species